UACGAAGGGGGCUAGCGUUGCUCGGAAUCACUGGGCGUAAAGGGUGCGUAGGCGGGUCUUUAAGUCAGAGGUGAAAUCCUGGAGCUCAACUCCAGAACUGCCUUUGAUACUGGAGGAUCUUGAGUUCGGGAGAGGUGAGUGGAACUGCGAGUGUAGAGGUGAAAGUUCGUGAGAUAUCGGGAGGAACACCGGUGGCGAAGGCGGCGAUCUGGGUCGAUACUGACGCGUGAGGUGGCGAAA
rnacentral:rRNA from 1 species